rnacentral:rRNA from 1 species
GGAUAAACGCUGGCGGCGCACAUAAGACAUGCAAGUCGAACGAGAAUCGUUAAAAACGGAUUGAAGAUUAUCAGAUUGAAGUUUUAACAAUGGUUCUAGUGGCGGACUGGUGAGUAACACGUAAGCAACCUGCCUAUUAGAGGGGGAAUAACAGUGAGAAAUCAUUGCUAAUACCGCAUAUGCUCACAGAAUCACAUGAUUUAGUGAGGAAAGGAGUAAUCCGCUAAUAGAUGGGCUUGCGUCUGAUUAGAUAGUUGGUGGGGUAACGGCCUACCAAGUCAACGAUCAGUGGCCGGACUGAGAGGUUGAACGGCCACAUUGGGACUGAGAUACGGCCCAGACUCCUACGGGAGGCAGCAGUCGGGAAUAUUGCGCAAUGGAGGAAACUCUGACGCAGUGACGCCGCGUGCAGGAAGAAGGUUUUCGGAUUGUAAACUGCUUUAGUCAAGGAAGAUACAAGACAGUACUUGAAGAAUAAGCACCGGCUAACUAUGUGCCAGCAGCAGC